rnacentral:snoRNA from 1 species
CUGAAAUGAUGAGAUUCCACUUCAUUGGUCCGUGUUUCUGAAACACAUGAUAACUGGAAGUUCUGAUUGG